CUUGGUCUCAUCACAUAGGUAUUUUAUCAUCUCACAUCAUCACAAGAAGGAGAACAAUAACCUACCAAAUGGGGAGCUGAUAUGAGAACUGAAAUGUACAGGAGACAACUUCAUUGAGAAAUAGAAUGAGGAGCCAGGGGAUUCUCACAUGCAGAGCAUAAAAUGUAUCAUGCAAUGGCACAGAAGAUGAAAUUAAUAAAGAAGAAGUUUAUAAUUACCACAAAAAUAAAAUAUGGGAAGAUACAAGUUAGCUGCAUCAAGAUCGCAAAAGCUGGAGAUUCUACAGGGCAGCGGAGUGUAUUACAAGGAACACAGUCAUUGUUUUGACAAAUUGGAAACUGACACUGCUUCCCAGACCUGCUAGAGUCCUCAGGCUGCUGACCAUGAGCAGAGAAGGAGAUAACCAAGGAAUGGGGCUUCUGCCACACAGUGGGGGAAGAGAGAUCUAUAUCUGGAACCAGGAAAUUCUGUAAAGUAUCUCUUCUUACUCCACGUUCAGUAAUAAUGGUCAAUGAAAAACUGCAAAGAACCUUUAUAGACAGGGCCUCCACAGACUCAUCAGAUCCUGCAGAAAUGAUUUUGGAAACCAGGGAAUAAAGAAGCUAUGAUUUUCAUGUUAAAUAAUAAAAGAUUCCAACCUCCUCA